AGAAUCAACGCUGGCGGCGUGCCUAACACAUGCAAGUCGAACGAGAAAGUGGUAGCAAUACCAUGAGUAAAGUGGCGCACGGGUGAGUAACACGUGACUAACCUACCCUUGAGUGGGGGAUAACUGAGGGAAACCUUAGCUAAUACCGCAUAAUACCCACGGGUCAAAGGAGCAAUUCGCUUUCGGAGGGGGUCGCGGCUGAUUAGCUAGUUGGCGGGGUAACGGCCCACCAAGGCUUUGAUCGGUA
rnacentral:rRNA from 1 species